CGAGGGGUCCAAGCGUUGCUCGGAAUCAUUGGGCGUAAAGCGAGUGUAGGUGGUCUUUGUAAGUCAGCAGUGAAACGCCCCAGGCUUAACCUGGGAAGUGCUGUUGAUACUGCGAAGCUUGAAUGUGGGAGAGGAUCGUGGAAUUCCAGGUGUAGUGGUGAAAUACGUAGAUAUCUGGAGGAACACCGGUGGCGAAGGCGGCGACUCUGGCCCAACAUUGACACUGAGACUCGAAAGUGCGGGGAUCAAACAGGAUUAGAUACCCUGGUAGUCCGCACCGUAAACGAUGGAUACUUGGUGUUGGAGGUAUUGACCCCUUCAGUGCCGAAGCUAACGCGUUAAGUAUCCCGCCUGGGAAGUACGGCCGCAAGGUUA
rnacentral:rRNA from 1 species